UUGAAAGGGAAACGAUUGAAGUCAGUCGUACUUACGAGAAAUCAACUCUUCGGUGCGGAUUUGCGGGCGUACGUGAGCCUUACGGCCUCGUUGUUUGCAAUGUCUGUGUUCUUGGGGUGUACUUUUUCGUGUGGUAGGUCAACGUCAGUUUUGUUCGCUAUAAAAUAACUUGAGGAAUGUAGCUUUGAUCUCGUAUUGAAGUGUUAUAGCCUUUGGUAGAUGUGGUGAUCGAAACUGAGGAUUGCAACGAAUACCCUUUGGGCUAUCCGUCUGACCUCUGGAAGUUGCUUAGGUGCCGAAAGCUUGCUUAUGGUCAUUUAAGUUGGCGGUCAAUAGGUUAGAACGUGAUUACAUUCGUUAAGGAUGUUGACGUA
rnacentral:rRNA from 1 species